ACGAACGCUGGCGGCGUGCUUAACACAUGCAAGUCGAACGCGCCUGUCCUCUGGGUUUCUGGGGGGUGGGUGAGUGGCGAACGGGUGAGUAACACGUGAGUAACCUGCCCCCCUCUUCGGGAUAACGGUCUGAAAGGGCUGCUAAUACCGGGUAUUCACUGGUCUCCGCAUGGGGUCUGGUGGAAAGGUUUUUUUCUGGUGGGGGAUGGGCUCGCGGCCUAUCAGCUUGUUGGUGGGGUGAUGGCCCACCAAGGCUUUGACGGGUAGCCGGCCUGAGAGGGUGACCGGUCACAUUGGGACUGAGAUACGGCCCAGACUCCUACGGGAGGCAGCAGUGGGGAAUAUUGCACAAUGGGCGCAAGCCUGAUGCAGCGACGCCGCGUGAGGGAUGGAGGCCUUCGGGUUGUGAACCUCUUUCGCCCGUGGUCAAGCCGCGACGUGGGUCGUGGUGAGGGUAGUGGGUAAAGAAGCGCCGGCUAACUACGUG
rnacentral:rRNA from 1 species